rnacentral:rRNA from 1 species
GACGAACGCUGGCGGUGUGCUUAACACAUGCAAGUCGAACGAUAAGGCCCUUUCGGGGGUACACGAGUGGCGAACGGGUGAGUAACACGUGAGUAACCUGCCCUCAUCUCUGGGAUAACAGUCGGAAACGGUUGCUAAUACUGGAUAUGAGCUUGCAAGGCAUCUUGUGGGUUGGAAAGAUUUUUUUUGGUUGGGGAUGGACUCGCGGCCUAUCAGCUUGUUGGUGAGGUAGUGGCUCACCAAGGCUUCGACGGGUAGCCGGCCUGAGAGGGCGACCGGCCACAUUGGGACUGAGAUACGGCCCAAACUCCUACGGGAGGCAGCAGUGGGGAAUAUUGCACAAUGGACGGAAGUCUGAUGCAGCAACGCCGCGUGCGGGAUGACGGCCUUCGGGUUGUAAACCGCUUUCAAUUGUGACGAAGCUUUUUUGUGACGGUAGCAGUAGAAGAAGCACCGGCUAACUACGUG